rnacentral:rRNA from 1 species
CCCUUAGAUGUUCUGGGCCGCACGCGUGCUACACUGAACGGUUCAAUGGGUGAGGUAGUGCGAAAGCAUAACCUAAUCUCGAAAUCCGUUCGUGCUGGGGAUAGAAGCUUGCAAUUAUCCUUCUUGAACGAGGAAUACCUUGUAGGCGUGAGUCAUCAUCUCGCGCCGAAUACGUCCCUGCCCUUUGUACACACCGCCCGUCGCUCCUACCGAUUGAGUGUUCCGGUGAGGCUUUGGGAGAGCUGGGUGGAUUGUGUUUCACGAACUGCUCGGUUUGAACUUAGUCAAACCUUAUCACUUAGAGGAAGGAGAANUCGUAACA